ACAUCUGGGGAACUGCAGGGCUGUGCCAAGCUUUGUCCUCCCAUUGCCCCUUGCCCUGCUCCAUUGAUCUGUGUACACAAGCCCUAAGCCCUCCUACUAGCAAUGGGUAGCGCUAUGGGAACUGCGUGCUGUGCUUAAGGUGCUCCAAGUUCUUGAAGUGUUUCAGGUAGGCUGAAAGCUUCUGGGCUGGGUCCAUCUCCUUGGAACGAGGAUGCUGAUCGCUGACUCACGCUGCCACAGCGAUAGGAACCGCUGCCAGCCGUUGUAUAACGGAGCUUCUCAGCUUCAGUCUGGGCAAAGUAAUGGUUGCUGCUGCUUGGAAAUAGUGCUGUGGAAUUGAGGUGAGUCAUUCAGGUGGCUCAAGUGACCCAAGUGAUUUACUCAUGAGCCACAGGUGAACCAGGUUCAUCCUGCUCUCAUGUCCUGGGGGAGGCCCCAGACCUCUUCUCUCUGAAGAGACUGGUAGCUGGUAAAGCAGUUGGCCACGGACGAGUCAUUAUCCACAGACCAAAUCUCAUACUUCUGGGGUACCUGCAAGCUCUCAGGGCUUUCAUGCUCGUGCUUCCCAAAGGAGCAAAUUUUGGCCGCUUCUGGAAGCAAUGUACUGUUAGCUGCAGGCUUGUCCCAUGCUUGGUUUUGGUAACAGCUGCUGACAGAAGGCAGUGCCCUGUGAGCAUCCCCCUGUUUGCAGUUAAGGCAGCAGCCGCCCAUGGUGCAUGCUAAAAGUUACUGAAUUGGUUGGAGAAGGGUUUGUGGGGCUUUCUUCCGCAACCCAGCCUGCUGACAUUUUCUGAGCUGCUACUAGUGAUGUGCUUUUCUGUUUUCCUCCGGUCCAUGUCUUUACAGACUGCAGUCAAUUGUUUAUGCAAAUUUAUUUUAAUGUUAGUUGUUCAUGCUGAGCCUUCAGAUAGUCUAAGCAAUGCCUGGAAACAGCUGCUAAUAAUAAAAACUUGCUAAUUUGGUACUCAGCUCUGCCUCCACUUUCACACCUCCUCCGUGCUGUUACCAGUUCCAUACCUGAUAGUGUUUGAGUCAUGGAGGUUGAGUGUUACUUGCUGUGCCAACCCAUAGUAAGCCUGCCUGUCAGAGGGAUUGUUAACACUUGGCUGCCUGCAGCGCGACACUGACAUGGGCACUCCUUCCGCUCCGCUCCGUGCAAAUGGAAAGCAAAUGCAAAACAGUCUGGAAUCCCCACUGCUGAUCCGAAGCAGUAUUAAAACUUACAAUAAUAAAAAAAUGCCUAUUGUGAAAUGAAUGAUAUACACGGACCGUUACUUUCCUCGUUAGAUUUCUGCUGCCUAAAACAUAUCUCAUUUUAAACAACUUACUCUCCCAACUUCAUAUGCUCCUUAGUGAUACGUGUAAAAGGAGCAGUCAUGUUCCAAAAGGUUUUUAAUAAGAACUUUUAAAUAUUAAUGCUAGAAAGAAGACCCAAGCCAGUUUAGUCUCAGUGCAUCAUCCCUGAAAUGCUCGUUCCUCUGCCACAGGCUUGAUGCUAUAUCUGAAAUUAAAUGUGUUUAAAAUCAAAUACUUUUAGUUCUCUGACAUCUCUCAUCCUCUUUUACUCUUUACUCUCUAGAAUGUGAAUUCUAGGUACGUCUGGAGGCCUUGCGGUGCAUGUGAUGCAGAGUGCUUUUAAUAACACUGAAUUUAGGCUUUUUUGUUGUACAGUGCACUGGUGUCUUACGGAGUGUUUUGUAGUUGGGUGAGAACCUGCAGGAGCUCGCUGGAUGAGAAGGAAAUAAUCAGUUUACCUGCUUACAAAGCAGAAAGGAUACUCUUCUGUACCUCUCCUGCUCCAAGUCAUGCAUUUUUCUCCUGGGUAAGAAUGCGAAGUGAGGAGGAGGUGACAAAAAAUCAUCUAAAAAUAGGGAUUCAGUAGAAAUGGGGCUGUAGGAAAUGAAGCAAACCUGAGGAAGCAGCCUCCUGCUGUCUUUGUUUUCUGUAGGUGCUUGAAGGAGCUUUUCUUCCCUCAGGUCUCCCCUGUCCUCUCUGUGGCCUGAUAGCUGCAGAUGUUUAGCUCAGGGUGACGAUCUUUAUAGCGAACAGCUCCAUCCUCGAACCCAGUAUGGAGUUGCCAAGGUAGAAGCGCUUCAGAGUUCAGCCUGGCUUAUUUAUUUUGAAUAAAUUUAUAUUGAAUAACUUUAAAGAACUCUGUAUAAGAUUAAAGCAUCUAGUCAUUUUUAUUGACAGUUGUAAUUAAUUAGGAUUUAUGCUCAAAUGCUUUGCUGCUUGGUUAUGCAGUUGGUUGCUUAUGUGCUCUGUUCCUCACUGUUAGGUUAUUACAGUAUUAUGAAUCCACUUUAUCUUGAUUUCUCAGUUCAUCUACACCUGAGCCAAUGCCAGGAUGCCUCAUAACCUUGCAAGUCCCAGGGAGUGGAUGGACCUGAAGGUUUGUGCCCUGGCCAGAUGGUCUUUGUGCAUUAAAUGACACAUUGUAAUGUAUCUGGACAAAAAAGGAGGUUUAAAUUGGUCAUCCUUGAUUCAUCCUAGAUAGGAUAGUUAUCCUGGGAUUUGAACCUGUGUGUCUGGCAGCUCAGAAAAUAUUCACCAAGGCAUUCUUGGUGGGAUGAUUGGAUAUUGGAAUUAUCACUUGGGUAAGAUAUGAGAGAGAAUGUCACUUUUAACAUCAAACUCUCUGAAGGGACGUUAUAACAACAGAGGUUAGGAGAUCAUGGCUUCAUUUACUAGGACGGAUUUAAUUGGAUUACUGGACUGAAAGUGAUGCUUGCAUCUUCCUUGCUGAGCAUAAGAGUCGAUCUGACAUAAGGAGACACAUGCAUCAGUUCUCAGGAUGUCUCAUAAAACACAGCUAAUGAAAUCUGACUUGAUUUUUUUGCAGUCACUUCCAUGUCUUCCCUUCUCCACCCCACAUCCCAACUACCCUUUGUGUUUUAGAAACUUGAUCUUUGUCUCUUCUUGGUACUUUCCAGUGCCUAUUUUCAUCUCCCAAAACUUUAACUCAGGCAAUAUGUAUCAAGUAUCGAAUGCCAUGCUGGUUACCUGGCUACGUGUACUGCUUGACCCCCUCCAGCAAGACCAAAAAUAACUGCUGGGUUGGCAGCAAAAAUCACUUAGUUGAGUGUCUUGUCUUUUUUCUGUUUUCACCCUUU